UACGUAGGGUGCAAACGUUGCUCGGAAUCAUUGGGCGUAAAGCGCACGUAGGCGGCCUGUUAAGUCGGAUGUGAAAGCCCCGGGCUCAACCCGGGAAGUGCAUACGAAACUGGCGGGCUUGAAUAUGGAAGAGGGUCGCGGAAUUCCCGGUGUAGAGGUGAAAUUCGUAGAUAUCGGGAGGAACACCAGUGGCGAAGGCGGCGACCUGGGCCGAUAUUGACGCUGAGGUGCGAAAGCGUGGGGAGCAAACAGG
rnacentral:rRNA from 1 species